UUUGAUCAGACUGUUGUAUUGGUAACUCCUUUCUUCCAUGUUCUAUCUCGCAUGUUCCAAAUUUUUUAUCAUUAACAUGAGUUUGUAUAUUAUUGUUGCAAAAAGACGGAAAACAACCUCCACACUCGGGUUUCAAAUGGUCUGCCAUGUCUGAUGUUGAAAGCUUAGCCUGGAAUCCCCACAGUGAACAUUCCUCUGUGGUGAGAGCUUCACUUCCCUUUGCUCUCUUAUUAUAGACAAUCUGAGGUUAUAGCAGUUUUAAACAUUUUCUUACCA
rnacentral:lncRNA from 1 species